rnacentral:rRNA from 1 species
GAUGAACGCUGGCGGCGUGCCUAAUACAUGCAAGUCGAGCGAAGCGGGGACGGGGGAGUAACACGUGGAUAACCUCCUUUACGUCUGGGAUAACUUCGGAUAACACGUGCUAAACCUGAUAUUUAUAGAUCGAUCCGCGGUGCAUUCGCUAGUUGGUAGGGAAACGGGUUACCAAGGCCACGAUGCAUAGCCGACCUGAGAGGGUGAUCAGCCACACUGGAACUGAGACACGGUCCAGACUCCUACGGGAGGCAGCAGUAGGGAAUCUUGCGCAAUGGGCGAAAGCCUGACGGAGCAAUGCCGCGUGAGUGAGGAAGGUCUUAGGAUUGUAAAGCUCUGUUAGUAGGGAAGCGGUACCUAAACAGAAAGCCCCGGCUAACUCCGUGCCAGCAGCCGCGGUAAUUC